UCUGGGACAAGCCCUGGAAACGGGGUCUAAUACCGGAUAACACCGGGUUCCGCAUGGGACCUGGUUAAAAGCUCCGGCGGUGAAGGAUGAGCCCGCGGCCUAUCAGCUUGUUGGUGGGGUGAUGGCCUACCAAGGCGACGACGGGUAGCCGGCCUGAGAGGGCGACCGGCCACACUGGGACUGAGACACGGCCCAGACUCCUACGGGAGGCAGCAGUGGGGAAUAUUGCACAAUGGGCGAAAGCCUGAUGCAGCGACGCCGCGUGAGGGAUGACGGCCUUCGGGUUGUAAACCUCUUUCAGCAGGGAAGAAGCGAAAGUGACGGUACCUGCAGAAGAAGCACCGGCUAACUACGUGCCAGCAGCCGCGGUAAUACGUAGGGUGCGAGCGUUGUCCGGAAUUAUUGGGCGUAAAGAGCUCGUAGGCGGCUUGUCACGUCGGUUGUGAAAGCCCGGGGCUUAACCCCGGGUCUGCAGUCGAUACGGGCAGGCUAGAGUGUGGUAGGGGAGAUCGGAAUUCCUGGUGUAGCGGUGAAAUGCGCAGAUAUCAGGAGGAACACCGGUGGCGAAGGCGGAUCUCUGGGCCAUUACUGACGCUGAGGAGCGAAAGCGUGGGGAGCGAACAGGAUUAGAUACCCUGGUAGUCCACGCCGUAAACGUUGGGAACUAGGUGUUGGCGACAUUCCACGUCGUCGGUGCCGCAGCUAACGCAUUAAGUUCCCCGCCUGG
rnacentral:rRNA from 1 species